UGGGGAAUAUUGGACAAUGGGCGAAAGCCUGAUCCAGCCAUGACGCGUGUGUGAAGAAGGUCUUCGGAUUGUAAAGCACUUUAAGUUGGGAGGAAGGGCAUUAACCUAAUACGUUAGUGUUUUGACGUUACCGACAGAAUAAGCACCGGCUAACUCUGUGCCAGCAGCCGCGGUAAUACAGAGGGUGCAAGCGUUAAUCGGAAUUACUGGGCGUAAAGCGCGCGUAGGUGGUUUGUUAAGUUGGAUGUGAAAGCCCCGGGCUCAACCUGGGAACUGCAUCCAAAACUGGCAAGCUAGAGUACGGUAGAGGGUGGUGGAAUUUCCUGUGUAGCGGUGAAAUGCGUAGAUAUAGGAAGGAACACCAGUGGCGAAGGCGACCACCUGGACUGAUACUGACACUGAGGUGCGAAAGCGUGGGGAGCAAACA
rnacentral:rRNA from 1 species